UACGUAGGGGGCGAGCGUUGUCCGGAUUUAUUGGGUCGUAAAGAGCGUGUAGGCGCCAGACAGGUCCGUUGUGAAAACUAGAGGCUUAACCUCUAGACGUCGAUGGAAACCGUCGUGGCUAGAGUCCGGAAGAGGAGAAUGGAAUUCCUGGUGUAGCGGUGAAAUGACGCAGAUAUCAGGAGGAACACCGGUGGCGAAGGCGGGUCUCUGGGCAGUAACUGACGCUGAGGAGCGAAAGCGUGGGGAGCGAACAGG
rnacentral:rRNA from 1 species